UCUCUUGUGCUCGGGCGCGCGGUCGCACCAGUGAGGUUUUUACCGAGGUCGAUCUAUUUUGCUGAUUGCAAAUUAUACAUCCGAACCCGUCUGUUAGCUUCGGCUUUCAGCAAUUUUUGGAACCAUUCUCCUUGCCUGGUG
rfam:Lentinula edodes NBRC 111202 DNA, contig: scaffold29.